CAUAGUGUUUAUUAAUUUUCAUCUCAUUGCUAUAUCAAAUUUUAUUCUUUAUAUUUUCUUGUGUGUUCUCUUCUUCCACCCUCGCCCCCCUAUCUCACUCACUCUAGCUCUAAAUAAAAUAAAGUGACUUCUUCUUCUUCUUCUUCUUCUUCUUCUUCUUCUUCUUCUUCUUCGGUUUUGUGAUAUACAUCAACAAGGAUGUUGAUCCAUUGUUGAAUGAUGUAAAAUUGGAGGGCAAGAAUGAUCCUACAAAAUCUAUUAGUUUCGUUGUUAAUAUGAUAAAGCACAUAAAAUGGGAGGUGAUGAUGCAGAAGCAUGAGCCAAACUAUGUUAUAUAGCUACGUGGUGCUUCUGGGAAUAUUGUUCGCAACUUUGUUAGUCAACCUCUGAUUGUUGUUUGUUUCAAGCCAUGUAAAUAAUGUAAAAUAGCCAAGCCACUAUAAGCUAGUGUGUCAUUUUAUUACCAAAUAAUAAUUGCUCAUUCCCCAUUUUACUUUUAAAGAAAAAUAUUUGUUUUGUACAAAUUAUAAAUUUAAUUGUUUUACCCAUAUAUCCAAUUAUAUUUCACCAAAUUGAUAAUUGUGAAAAUAAAUAGUCGUCUUUUGUAAUUAUUUUUAUACCUUUCACUUGGUGGA